rnacentral:rRNA from 1 species
UACGGAGGGGGCUAGCGUUGUUCGGAAUUACUGGGCGUAAAGCGCGCGUAGGCGGAUCUGCAAGUCGGGGGUGAAAUCCCGAGGCUCAACCUCGGAACUGCCUUCGAUACUGCGGGUCUCGAGUCCGGGAGAGGUGAGUGGAAUUCCUAGUGUAGAGGUGAAAUUCGUAGAUAUUAGGAAGAACACCCGUGGCGAAGGCGGCUCUCUGGUACGUGACUGACGCUGAGACGCGAAAGCGUGGGGAGCAAACAGG